rnacentral:rRNA from 1 species
UACCAGCACCCCGAGUGGUCGGGACGAUUAUUGGGCCUAAAGGCAUCCGUAGCCGGUCCUACAAGUCUUCCGUUAAAUCCACCUGCUCAACAGAUGGGCUGCGGAAGAUACUAUAGGGCUAGGAGGCGGGAGAGGCAAGCGGUACUCAGUGGGUAGGGGUAAAAUCCUCUGAUCCAUUGAAGACCACCAGUGGCGAAGGCGGCUUGCCAGAACGCGCUCGACGGUGAGGGAUGAAAGCUGGGGGAGCAAACCGG